AGGACGAACGCUGGCGGCGUGCUUAACACAUGCAAGUCGAACGAGGCAGCAAUGCCUAGUGGCGGACGGGUGAGUAACGCGUAGGUAACCUGCCUUAUAGUGGGGGAUACCCAGCCGAAAGGUUGGCUAAUACCGCAUAAGCUCUUCUCUUGGAAUAGGGAUGAGGAAAGAUUUAUUGCUAUAAGAGGGGCCUGCGUCCGAUUAGCUAGUUGGUGAGGUAAUGGCUCACCAAGGCGACGAUCGGUAGCUGGUCUGAGAGGACGAUCAGCCACACUGGAACUGAGACACGGUCCAGACUCCUACGGGAGGCAGCAGUGGGGAAUUUUCCGCAAUGGGCGAAAGCCUGACGGAGCAACGCCGCGUGGAUGAUGAAGUCUUUCGGGACGUAAAAUCCUUUCAGCAGGGACGAAGCGAGUGACGGUACCUGCAGAAGAAGCAUCGGCUAACUACGUGCCAGCAGCCGCGGUAAUACGUAGGGUGCAAGCGUUGUCCGGAAUUAUUGGGCGUAAAGAGCUCGUAGGCGGUCUGUCGCGUCGGAUGUGAAAACCCAGGGCUCAACCCUGGGCCUGCAUUCGAUACGGGCAGACUAGAGUUCGGUAGGGGAGACUGGAAUUCCUGGUGUAGCGGUGAAAUGCGCAGAUAUCAGGAGGAACACCGGUGGCGAAGGCGGGUCUCUGGGCCGAAACUGACGCUGAGGAGCGAAAGCGUGGGGAGCAAACAGGAUUAGAUACCCCGGUAGUCCUGGCAGUAAACGGUGCGCGUUUGGUGUGGGAGGAUUCGACCCCUUCUGUGCCGGAGCUAACGCGUUAAACGCGCCGCCUGGGGAGUACGGUCGCAAGAUUA
rnacentral:rRNA from 1 species